UGGGGAAUAUUGCACAAUGGGCGCAAGCCUGAUGCAGCGACGCCGCGUGAGGGAUGACGGCCUUCGGGUUGUAAACCUCUUUCAGUAGGGAAGAAGCGAAAGUGACGGUACCUGCAGAAGAAGCACCGGCUAACUACGUGCCAGCAGCCGCGGUAAUACGUAGGGUGCGAGCGUUAUCCGGAAUUAUUGGGCGUAAAGAGCUCGUAGGCGGUUUGUCGCGUCUGUCGUGAAAGUCCGGGGCUUAACCCCGGAUCUGCGGUGGGUACGGGCAGACUAGAGUGCAGUAGGGGAGACUGGAAUUCCUGGUGUAGCGGUGGAAUGCGCAGAUAUCAGGAGGAACACCGAUGGCGAAGGCAGGUCUCUGGGCUGUAACUGACGCUGAGGAGCGAAAGCAUGGGGAGCGAACAGG
rnacentral:rRNA from 2 species